GUUUUCAUACCUCUGAUCGAUCUCAAGGCAAAGAUAAGUUCCACAACAUGAACACUGUAGUAAACCAAUCUCGAAUCUAUAAUUAGAUGAUAGACCUCUUCCGUACCAAUUUAUACGCAGCUUUCCAAAUCUCAUAGGCUUGAAUGGGUUGCACAGCCAUGACUACAAACUCGUCCUUUCCAACUUUAUCAAGAACACCAGCAAGCUCAGUAAUAUCAAGAGUCGAAUUAGCUCCUCUGUGAAGAAGGAAAGUAUUUAUGGUUGCUAAGUUACCUACCGCCUGCACAAAGUCAACAACAUUCUGAAUCACACUAAUACUGCCCUGGGGCCAGAAUGGUCACUAAGCACAGAGACCGAAGGCAUACAAAGAUAAUAACACGGAUGCACUUAACUCCGAUAAAAUGGGAACAUGACUAACUCCUGGUGCUUCUGCUUCCAGCAUGAGGACGCGAUGUAAAACAGACUAAUGCACACAUACAGUAUGACAAAUGGAGUAGUACUUACAUCAACGAUCUCUGAACCCAAAUUCAUGCUGUAAUAAUGCUGAGUUGUCAACACCGUGAGACGUUUGAUUUUCAAUUGUGACACCUGAGACCAAUCUCAUGUUACGAUCACAUGCUAUAAGAUAAUAGGCUAGUUUAAUUCUCUCCAUACGAGAAGUCCAAACCAUCGAAACUUGAGGUAUGAAACACUUACGCUGGCUGCGAUGGCUGCUGCUUGAUGCCUAUCACUAAAACUGCAUCAAGACAAAACCAGUUGCGCAUCAGUACACCAAGCAAUGCAUCAACCGAAUUACGCUUGAUCCAAGCUUAUCCCAUAGUGAUAACAAUGUUAUGCUUCAGGUGCGGCGUUCACUUGUCAGUGCACAGGAAAAUGAAAGCUUGGUGGAAAUCUCACACGGUGCGGAAAAAUGUUGGAAAGUUAUCUCGAUUUGAGAGGCUUUCUGAAGUGGCAGCAAAUGAGACAAGCGGAUAAUUGUGUUCCACAAAAGCUCUACCAGCGGACAUAGCUGCAUCAGUACAAGCAGGGCCAACUGCACCAAUCAAAGGUGGAACUGUUGUCGGCCGGAGAAGUGACUCGGCAGCCUGCUGACCCAGUUGCCAGUCACAUUCAGAGCUUUUCAGAGUCGAGACCAUUGUAUAAGGUCUAUUCUCCGCGUUAAGAACUUCCAUGGCCACUUGAAAUGCUGAAUUCCUGUCAAGACCGCCGAGUAGAGCAAAAUUUUAAUACUGUACGGUAUGAGAGGGGUGUAGGUGGGGGAUUGUCGAAAAGCCUUCCAUAAGAAUCAUCGCUACAACGACCUCUGAAAACAAACAUUAGUAAGAAUCUCUUAGGCUACUAUUUGUAAUUCAUGGACUUGAGCACAAGAGGCAGAACUCACCAUUCAAUGGCCAGGUUGGUGGGAAUGAUGGAAUCUGGAGAAGGCGACAGAAAACCUAUUCUGUAGGUUAUGUUUUGAGGGUCUAGUGCUAUUACUCCUCUUAAGCACAUGCAUAAAACUACUACAUGAAGAGUCGCCGCAAGUUUUCCAUUUCUCGCCAUCGCAUCUACCCUUCAGAAUGCUUCCCACGAAAACAACGAUUUUGAAAUCUUGAGUUUUCUUGUAGAGGAUUAAGAGAGCCCUAACAUUGAAUAUUGUUUAGAGGGUCGCUGCGGAGGAAACUGAAAUAACCGAACUCUCUGCUUAACUUGGAUAUUUUUCUGUCUACAUCUCUGUGCAACUCAGUUCUUGAAUCUGAAAAUGUGAACAAACAGCUGAACACUGUCAGAGCAUCGGCAAGAACAGUCCUCGAGGUACUAAGAACAGUUUCUGCAGGGGGUUCCUCAAGCAGAGGGAAUGUGAGUGAUAAGCAACACUUGAGCAAGAAAAAACUGCCUGAAUAUAACCAAAACAACGCAAGCUCAGAGAAGAGAGCCACAGAAACUACAGACAAUGAAGUCACAAUCACAACCAAUCGAGAACGUAAAACCAGGAAUUUCUAAAAAUGCAUUCAACUACACAAGUCACGCCACUGAUGCCGAAGAUAAUGAGCUGGACGAUGAGCACACAUUUCGGCCACAAAUGUGUAAGACAAAAAAAAAAGAAAACUACACUCUUGAGAGCACAGUAAACAUGGAACUCUACUCCGAAAGAACAAAACGGCGUAGGAACUAUUGAAGGCAAUGCGCACAAGCUUGUUCACUUCAGCAAAGGCUUAAGCCUGCGUUUCCCUUCAAAACAAUCGGGCAGAGGUGUGCAGCGGAGAGGUUAUAAGGUUCAGAAUCAUUUAACGGAUUCAGUACCAGGUAAUCAGGGAAGAGAAUCGGUUGGGAAAAGUGCCGAGGCAUUCUACUUUCAACCACACUGCGAGCCCCAACUACUCAGCUCCGAUCACACGUGUGGACACUCUGCGAUGCAAUGCAGCUGAGAAAGCUGGGAACAAAUGUGAUGGGUGCGACCAUUGUUUAGUAAGCGUUGCAAAAACGCACUUACCAAGAUAACCUCAAACUUGUUUAGGAGGAACUGGGGAGUAAACUGAGUGAGUGGAGAACAAGCAGGACUGAAAUAUGCAUGAUGUUUGGAGCUAAAACUCGUUUAAAGUUGCGAAUGGGGGGGGGGGGGGGGUUGUGUGACUGAUUUUACCAAAAAAUAAUAAUACAUAAAAGAGCUGGUAGACCCAAAGAGAUUUGAACUUUUCUAAUAAGUCUGACAGGCACAAGAAAAUGCAUUUAUUCUUGCUGGCAAUUUGAGCGGCUCUGCGAGCAAGGAGAAACAGAACAAAUGCUAAUCCUACCCGAAAAGCACCAACAUUCUGUCAAUCAUUUACUAAAGUUGAUGCCCGUUUACUUCUGAACUCAUUCACUAGGUCUGGCCGGCAUUCUAUGUAGUAUUGUUUUUACGAAAUGCAUUCGCCCGAAUCCCGCUUUCCCAGCUGCAGCUCAACCGCGCGUCAUCGACAUCUCGCGGCGUUUGUCCCACUCGUUUGCAUCAUGCUGCAGCAUCUCAUUCGAUUCUAAUUUCACCUUGUUCUUCUGGGACGAGGCCUCAAAUUUUGUAAUUUAAUGGGAGGGCCUUACAUGUACUCCCCCACCCAUAAACAUACCGUGGCAAUUAAAGUUGACGUUGAAUAUACUCACGCUCACGUGCAUGUGCAGGCGCUCCCCUCCUUCCUUUCACGGCACUAAACCCAUAUUGAUGUUUCAAAUCCUCAUUGGUCGCUGGUCCCCGCGUCCCUGCCACCAUUACUGCUGCUGCAGUGCUUCGUAACACAGCAAUUGAAAUCUACUUAAGUGAAACACUGUUUGUUCCGCUUGUUCGAUGCAACAGUCGAUACAUCGAAUCAGCAUGACUUCCAAAUGGCUCCACCUCGUCUAUGGUUACCACAAUCUCGAUAAUUGAAUCAUGGGUAUCAAUGAACGGGGAGAUUUUCACUCUUUUUUUUUCUUUCUUUUUUUUUUUUUUUUUUUUUUUUUACUUCCGACCGAGUUUAUUUUCGGAUAAGGAUCCUGCGCUGAAUUGUUAAAGAGAAAGUUACGAAAUGUAACGCAGGAGGAACCCAUUGAUUAGGGGAAGGGUGGAUAUUAAUUAGGGCUUGUUCGAAAGCUGCCCACCAUUUUCCUUUUCGAGAAUAAGCAAGUUUGUUCUCUUCAUGAUGCCGAAGAGAGUUCAUUUGUGUUGUCCUGCCAUGACCGCAGUUGCCGACCGUCCCGCACAAUCGUACGCCCCUCUUACAGCAUCCCCAUCCGUGCUUUCUGCACCAAGGCCCCUCCAAGCAGAGCUCGUAAGGACAGAUUGUGGGCCCAUUAAUUCAAGUCACCAACCCGUGACAACACUCUUUUCCCCUUGACUCAAUCAAUCUCCAUCCUCGAAGAAAUCUCUUCCUUCAAGUCCGUGAAGGUCGAGCAACAGGGGGAUCAGAGUGCUGUGUGCUCAGCAUACAUGAGAAAUGGUCUCCUUAAACUGGAUCCUAUUUCACAACAGAACUCGGUGCGCAUGGAGGAUGAGCUGCGAUUUGAGUGCCGUUGUACAAACAAGUUAUACUACAGCAAACUCACCUCAUAUUCACUCUAAAAAGGGUUAUUGUCCACAUUGGCAUGCCGACACGGCGAAACUGCGCACUGGUAUUUUUACAUUCAACUCUAGAGUACUGAUGAAGCAAGACAGUUUAUGACGGUUAAUGAAAGAGAGCCACAACUUGGAGAUGCGGCUUGUCACUCUGUGGAAACAUUGGAGGGUUUCGGACGCUAAGGAUCACGAUUAGAACAUGGGUUUUAGCGCCUCGUUGUUGUUGCUGGUGCAGAUGUCGGUGUAUUUGAUGGUGCCGAAACACCACUCACACUUUUGGAGUGUGAUUCAAGUAGGUGUUUUUGAUGGUGCCGAAACACCACUCACACUUGAUCUCGGAACCAAGCCAACUUGCACUAGCUUAUGGCAGUUGACGGCGUACAUUUCAUGAUAAGAAUUUGUGGGAGCACCCGAAUAGAAGUGAAGUAGAGAAUCCAAACAUCUGUUGACUAAAAAAACCUGCAAGAGUAGGGUAAGAUGUACAAUGUACAACUUAUGCUCCCCAACACCACCAGCUUCAUCUGAAGAGAGAAGUGCAAAUGACAUCUCAUUGACUGACUUUACCUCCAAAUUGAGCUGCAUACCGGGCUACCAGGACACCGCUACCACCAGCUAUAAUGGCUACCAAAUCUUAGUCAUAAUGAGUAGGGUCUUUGUAAGAUCCAUUUUCUCCAGUUGUAGAUAUAUCCCUAACAUCAAAGGCUAGUCGCAUUCAAACAACCUGCGAAUUCUAUGGUGAAACACCCAGACACAGUUCUAAAAGUAGGCAAUGCUUCACUGAAUCGAAUUAGUGAAGAUUUAUACAACAUAAAUCGAAUUAGUGAAGAUUUAUGAAUCAUCGAAUUCAUGAACGAGAAUUCACCACCUCCCACAUUACUCAUUCGUGGAAACCCUAUCUUCACUUUCAGUUGAGACUGUUUACAGUUAAACCGUAGUAGUAUCUAAAGAUCCAACUAAGACCCAAAACUUAAUCAACACAGCCACGUUUCAGAAAACAUGUUUUACUCAUCGAUCAUCGAACUACGCGCAUUCAGAAACAGGAUUUCACCUAAACCCCAAAUAUGGAGGUAGUUACGAGAUCAAAAUGACAACAAUUCUCGUUAGAACCAAAUUGAAUGUGAUAAGCCAAAGCUUGAGGAUCACCGCUUAAAAUUAACAAUCAAGAAUUAUACUCCGAUUGAACUACAGUAAGGUAAAGGGUAAUCUACACGGAAUACAUUGCUGCUCUAUUAGUUGGUGUAUAGGCUCUUUUCUGGUAUGGUUGCUGCUGGAACAGACUCUGUAUCAUCGUAAAACAGCGACACAGCACAAUACAUUCACCAUUCAAUUUUAAAAUUCAGAUUUACGCACCCUGUACUCGAAUCACACUCCAAAAGCUCACAUCCAAACAAUUCAAGACUACAGCACAGAACAUUCACGAGCUGAAGAAUUACACAGCCAACACCCGCCGCAAAAAUUCGUUCAGAUAAUGUAUGAACGUAUUCGUGACGUACCAGGAUAAGCUCAAACACAGCUUAACCAUGCACGCACGUUGUCUCGACGCACUCACUGGUUCCAACCGCGAUUGCCAUCUCACUCCUCUGCCAAAAAGCGCGCCGACCUAAAACACUACACCACGUUAAAUUCCACCUCAUGUGUGGUCCAUUUCCCUAACUCCCCACUCCCUAACGCUCCAGCAGCAUCCCCACCCCAUCCCUACACUCGACACUGAAAAAAUCUCACGACUCCAUCCACAACAUCAAAAGCACAAACAAAACCCGAGCCAAAAAUCGUUCCACCUUACUAACCAAUCCUCAAACCUCCUCAAAAAAUAUAUAUAUAUAUAUGUAUAUAUAUAUAUAUUAAAAAAAAAACAAAAAAAAAAACGUCCACCGAUCUAACUGACAAAAAACUAAAAGCAUGAGAAGAUCGAUCGAGAGCGCGAGCUUGAAACGAUUACCUGGGCCCGGAAACAGCAACAAGCAACUUCGCAGACGAGGUGAGAGACGGCAAAGCGAAGCUCAGCAAACAAGCAGCAGCGGGAACCCAAGCCCGUGGGAAAGUAGAGCACCCAACACCGAAGAGUGCAAGGACCAAUGCUGACCUGUCAAGGAGCAAGGGCCCACAAUAUCUAGAACACGUCAUCCACUCCUUCAAAAGCGCGGGGGCGAGUCGCUUCAGUAAGUCACUACAAAAUGCCGCCAAAGCCCGGAGGGUUUCCGCGGGAAAGGGCGUGGCCACGUCAAAUUGGGGCAACAUGGCUGGUUUGGCGGCCGGAUGGGUGGGUGCUUAGGAAUUGCGUUCGUCCUCGUAGGAUCGGUCAUGGGGUCGAUUUUUCCCGGAGGCGCGGUCCCACUGGUAGCUACGCCGGAGCCCUAUAGUGAGUGGCUUGCAGCUGUUGCUGCUUCUUUUGGGCCCCACUUUGCUGCAACACGGUCGGCUUCGCUCAGAUAAGAGCUGCAGGCAAGCAGGCCCUUUCUAGCUUCAAGAGUUGUGUAAGUUGUCUUCACUUUCACGCGCACAGUGGCUUUGGUACGGGGAUCAGUGAACAAUGUCAUUAAGCAAGCAAACCCAUCACCGACCUUUUGGACUGCUUUGACAAUCGCCUGUUUGGUCGGCAGGUUAUGACAGUAGCGUUUAUUAUGCACCAUAAGAAAAAAGGAACUCCGAUAUCUAGGCAAAAGGAAAAACCCAACAGCAACUGGCUUACUGGACUCGGUCAAAUUCCUUCUAGAAUCCAGCAGAAAAUGUGCUCAACUCCAUCGUCGAAUUCCGAUCCUCCACAUGGUGAAAGUUUGUCAUGGGGCAUAACAGGUCUGUGAUAUGCGAGCAGCCUAUUCUAUUCUGAAACGAAUGUUUCCAUGAGAGUGUGUGCUCACGGAGACAGCAGGUGAUGUGAAGUCUCACUGUGGGUCACUUCACUGCAGAUUCACAUUAUCUGUAGUGGUGGCGAGCAAAGGCUGGAUAAACACUCGUCGCAAUGGGGGAGGGGUGGAAGUUUCGAGUUGUGAAAGACUGGUUGGUGGAUUUGUAGUCAAGGAAAAGAGUUACUUACACUGCCUGCUUUGGAAAUAGAGUGACCAGGCUAAGGGUAUUUGAAUCAGUGGGUAAUCCUGGACACGCAUGGCUACUUACCCUUUUCAAAACGACGACGUAAGCUGCGCAUGGUUGAAGUCAACGUGGAAAGCGAAGUUCGUUAUGGUGUGUUAGGAAGUGUGGUUUUGAAGAGGUCUAUCCUAAUCUUUUUGGGAGUCUCAACUCAUAUCUUAAACCGGGAUCUCAUCAAUCACCCCCUCCCCUAACUGAACCGAAUUCACCUGCGUGCUUUAAAAACCAUCCCAUCACUCCAGCUCGAAACCAAACUUAGCCAGUUGCUGGUUUGAAUCGUCCCUCGGGACGGCAUGUGUGUCGACGAGACGGGGGGGUUGGAAUGAGGAUUGGUGUCGUAGUCGUCAUUGUAAUCACUUGUCUGUUUCUGCAUCGUUCACUGCUUCCUGUCCACGCCUUGUUCACUGCAUCAUUCCAGAGAUUUUGGAUAACUUUGUUUCCCUUGGUAGGUCGCUGGUGAGAGUCUGCCUGUAAGGUAGGAAAAGUCGCAAUCUUUGCCAAAAUCAAAUUGCUUCUGUAUAGAAGUAGUCUGGUGUAGUCAACUAGUUUUUUCCUGCAUAGAGCCGCCUGGGGCUUUAAUUGCUGCUUGUUACGAAUCCUAGUCUUUCAAGAAGAAAGGGAAACAAGUGGAGGUGUUUGUUUUUUUCGAUUACCUUAAGCUUUUGUGGUUUUUUCGUUGGUGGAGUGUGGUUAUUACUAGCCGCAGCUUCGAAAAGCAAUUUGAUUGCGCAAGAAUAAAGAUGACGAGAGGAAACCAGCGGGAGAGGGACCGGGAGAGAGCUGCAGCGAGAGCCAAGCAGACUAAACAGCGAGACGACGGAUUGACACCUGAUCAGCGUCGCGAGCGCGACGCUAAAGCCCUGCAGGAAAAAACGGCAAGGAAGAUGGGAGAGCAAGGAGGGACGAGUUCUGGUCAAUCAUCAUCUUCAUCGUCGUCGUCACAAACCACUAAGAAAUGAUCAUCAACUUGAAAGAGUCAGCAAGGAAUGUCAACAACACACUUCGCUUGCGUUGCUUCUAAUUUUUCCCCGUGCGAUGCAUGUCAAGUAGAGUUAGUAUCCCCAUGCUUGCAGGUUUGACGACUUCGCGUAGUUUAGAUCCGGUAGAAUAUGAUCGAUUGACUUCUAGUGCCUGGUUAUUUCUCGGAGGAAAGGAUGACAGUUCUGCACUAAUUUUAAAAGUGUACAACCUUUUUAGUAACUUUUGCCUGCAUCGCAUUAGGGGUGUGAUACCCUUCCGCUGUGAUCGUUGUGUUCUGUGACUUUCUGCAAUAAAUGCUUUCACCGUCUCUCCACAGGGUGCCUUUAAAGCCUGCCGUGAUUCAUAGCAUAGGUUUUCUCUAUGUCAUGACAAUUAUCUCAUGAAUAACGCACUUCGUGGACAAUCUUCGAACCCGUUUCUCGUGCGCUCAGGAUAUGAAUACAGCUCAAUGACAUUCUCUUCCAGCAGAUCGUUAUAUAAUCAAAGCCAGUUAUACUAUUUCGCUCUGGCAAUAAAAGCCAUAGCAGGAUCUAACAACCGCUUCACGAUCCAAUGGAGACCAAAUUCCUUCGAUCCGCGGCAUCCAAACACUUCGAUCUAGCCUCUCUCUCAAUCGUCACAAACAAUGCACAAAACCAUGUCUGAAACCAACUUCAUCUCCAGCAUUCUGACAUCGAUUCUGGCAUCGAAACCACUAAACGAUCCCUUGUGGAGAAACAUGAGGUUGCUGAGUUAGUCGAUGCACCCCUGGACUGGACCAGCUUCUGUGGGUGCAGUGCUGCUCACUAAUUCAAGCAAUACAAGAUACAUCGAUUCGGUGCAGAAUGAAUGAGCUCAUUACAACCGAAAACCUCAAAUUCGGCAACACUUUUCUAUCUGAACAUCUUCUGGGUUGUGCAUGAGAUCUGUGGGCACAUCUACAAUGGUGAGAAUGGCAUUGUAAUCUGCAGCCCCGUUUCAUGAAUGUAGAAAUCAAUGGAGAUAAAACGGAGUUUGAUUUUUAGUAUUAGCAAGCAAAUGAGGAUGUAGGUUUACAUUGCAACUACAGGAGCUUAUUUUAUAUACUGUUGAGCAAAGUUUCUUACAAUGUGAAUUAAAUCAUUUUCUGUGUGUUCAUUCAGUUUUGAAACGCAUGUUAAUUUUGCUUAACAGACAUGAGCUGGACCUUUUAUACAUUCAUGAAUGGAGGAAAUGAGGUUAUGCUUUAAAUUUUUUUAAACUAGGAUGUUUUGUAUAAAAUUCAAGCAAAUAGUGAUGAAAAGUAUUGUGACGUGUUUCAGUUUUUUCUUUGUUGACAACGAAACAAAUGAUAAAGUUUUUCCUUGGUUUUUGAAUCACAUACCAAUAUUUGCUUACAUUCUAUGUUUGUUGUAGUGUUGGAAGUUUUGAAAGAUUAUUUUUGAUGUCAUGGUGGUGUGAAUGAUUGAUUAAAAACAAAUUAAAAAUUCAAUAUUAAUACUAUUCAAAUUCCCAUUUGAUAACUGAUUUUCUCUUUUCAAUACUGAGAAUCCAGUCAAGUUACAGUCAAAGAUGAGAUGAGAAACACUCUAUCAAAUAAUUCUCUCUCUCUCUCUCUCUCUCUCUCUCUCUCUAUAUAUAUAUAUAUAUAUAUAUAUAUAUUUACACAUAAAUAAUACCAUCAAUUCUUUUUAAAAGUCAAAUUAAGUUGGACUUUAAAUUUUAUAAAAUUAGACUUAUAUCAAACAAUGUACACACAAAAAGUAAGUACAUGCACCGUUUACUAUUAUUAUUAUUUGCAUGCACAUUCUUAGCAUUAGAUUUUCUUUUCUUUUCUUUUGGUAAUAAGAAUAUGGUACUGAUCAAAACAUUAAAAACUGCUUUUCUCAUUUUAGAUUCUCUCUUAUAUUUACUGAUAUUCUACAUAUCAUACUGAUAUGAUUUAUACAUAUUAAACUGAUAUUAUCCAUAUUAUAGAUUGAUAUUUGUAAAAAAUGUUGUAUCCAACUUUUUAUUUAUUAUGGGAGUUACACUAACAAUGUAAUGUGGAGAUGUUGCACUUUUUUACUUUUCCACAAAACAUAUGAAUAGUAAAAAUGACAAUAAUAGGGAAAUGUUGUUUUAUGAAUCUUUUGGAAAACAUGUAUCUAAGUAGUGAUCCAAGAAGUCAUUUACAAGAUAAGAUGUCUCCAAUCUCAAGGGAGAAAUUUAUUAAUUAAAAAAAAAUCAAUAAAAUCAAUAAAAAUAAAAAAAAUAAAAAACAUGAAAACCAAAUCUUUCUUUCAUCUUGUCUCCAUGACUCGUCAUCCUCUAUUUGCAAACAACCCAUAGUUUAAAUCACUAAUCCUUAUUAUUAUUAUUAUUAUGAUCAUUAUUAUACUUUAUUUCUUGUGUUUUGGAUUGCUUUUUUGUCCUAUGUGAAGACAGUUGUGCGUGGGCUUCGAGGAAGCUUCGUAAUGUCGUUGGGAAAAGAGAAGAUUGGAUGAGCAUGAUCUGAUUAGUAAAAGACACUGCCAGAGAAAGAUGGUGAGAAAAAGAAGAAAGAAUAAGGAAUAAAGAAAGAAGGGACCUUGCUUGCUUUUUGUCCAUUCUUUUCUUUCUUCAUUUUGAGGCUUCAAAAUUGUGAUAAUUUUCACAGCAUUUUUUAAAAUUACUCGUGAUGUUGUGCAGUUGAUUUUAUAACUGCAUGGUCAAAUAGUCACUGCAAUUUUUGAUAUAAAUAUACUAGAAAUUAAACAACCAUGUAUAAAUAUUUUUAAAAAUACAUAUAUAUAUAUAUAUAUAUAUGUUAUUAAUUAAUUUGGCUGCAAUCAGUAUUAAUUCAUUCUUGAAAAAAAAUCAUAUAUAUGUAUAUAUAAAGAUAUUAUUGUAUUUCUUAAUUGUACACUUAUUUGGUUAAAUUAUGUAUAUUUGUGCCUUAUGUAAUUUACAACUUCAAUGAAUGGAAAUUCAAUAAAUUACGCAAGGUGAUAAAUCAAGAAGGAUAGACCAUUAAUAGUCAAUGUGUAAUGGUAAGGCUAAAAGGUGGUGACAUGUAUCUAGUUUACUAGUAUAGUUCUUCUUAAGGGUGCUAGAUAUUAAGAAUCCAAUUCUCCUAAUAUCCUACUUUUAUUUUUCAUUUUUUAUUUUUCCAUGUACUUCAAUGGAGUCCAUGCAUUCCUAUGGAGCACUUGUCUCCUCCUUUGAUGCCUCUUUUACAAGCAACCUCUAAUAGAGGAUUAAUAUUCUUUAUAAUAAUGUUGAAUAGACAAGUUGAGUGCAUUGGAGAGUAGUUGCAAUGAUCAUGUGAAGGUAUCAAAGAUCCUUGUUAUAAUAAAAACCAAUUCUUUAGAUAAUUUUUUUUUUUUUGUCAAGAUGCUACAAAAUUGUGCAAUAAAAAUCAACUAUAAUCAUUAUAAAACAAAUUAAAAAUGUUCAAUGAAUCAUUUGUUAUUCAUAGGAAAAUCCUCAACAAUUCUUCCAUGUUCAAUGCAAAUCUUUAAGUUUUACCAAAUACACCCAAAAAAAAACAUCUAAUUGAGAUUGCUUGCAUUAUUAAUAAUUUUAUAUUUAAUUUAUCAUUAUUUCAUUACUCAAACUAUUAAAUUUUAUCUUUUUUUUAUUAACUAUAAAAACAACAAGAUUAUAAAUUUAAAAUACAGGAAUAACUUUAGUUUGAAAAAAUAUUAUUAGCUAAACAAGAAAUAUAACUUAAGAGAUAUAAAUUAUGCAGAGUGAAACUUCAUAUGAAAAUACAUUUUAUCUUUUUAAUAUGUUACAUCAUAUUUUUAUUUUUAAAAUUAUUUUAUAAGAUAUAUUUAAUUUUAAAUAUAUAUAUAUAUAUAUAUAUAUAUAUAUGAAUCAUAUAAUUUAAAGUUAAAUCAAUUAUUUACAUAGGCAUAUCAAAGCAAAGUGAUAAAUUGCUAAAUCAAUUUAAUCAAAUAUCUUCAUAACAAAUUAUAAACACAUAUUUUUAGCUUUAUUUUAAUAUUAUUUUUUUUCUUUAUAAUUAAUUGGCUUAAAUCAAAUAAUCACUAUUUUAAAUCAUUAAAUUUAAUAAUAUUAAUAGCUACAUUAUAAUGAAUACAUUUUUAGUUGAUUGAUUUAGAAAUAUUGAUUAAUUUUACUAUAUUAUUUUAACUCAUAUUUCAUUAUUUUUAUAUCAAUAUUUAAUUUAAAAAUAAUAGUCCAAAUGAUAAUAUUUUUAUUUAUUUUAAUUAAUUGUUGAUAUAUCAAUGGUUUUAAAAAUUACAAAACAUACAAUUAAUUAUUAAUAACACUUGAAGAAGUAUAUACAAUCUUAAAAAAUAUCUUUAGAAGAUUUAAUAAUCUACCUAUGUAUGUUGCUUAAUUUUAGAACAUAAAGUCAAUUUGUAUAAUUGUUUUGAUUACAAAAGAUGUCAACUACAUCCUUGAACUUAAAACAAAUUUCAAUCAUUAAGAAUAUUUAUAUGUGUAUAAUUUUAUAUUAAAUAUUAGUUUAUAUAGUAUAUUUUAUUUGCAUAGUUAUCAUAAAAAAAUUAUUAAUUUAUUACUAUACCAUUCUAAGUACAUAAUCUUAUUUUUUUUCUUAAAGUUUUUAAGAAAUUAUUAUUUUUUAAAUGUUCUUACAAUAGAUAUAUAAAUUCCUUGUGUUUGAAUUUCAUUUCUAAAAUCUUACAACUACUAAUCAAUAAAUGUGAUCACAAUUGACUUUUCUCAUAUAAAAUGAUAUGGCUUAGAUAAAACAAUUCUUUCAUUCUUCUUAUUUUUUUAUUAUUUUUAUCAAAAAGAUAUUUAGGUUGUAUUUCUUUAAAAAAGAUGCUAAAAUAUUAAUCACAUAAUAUGAAAUAAAAUUAUAUAAAGAUGGCAUUGUUGGCUUCUGCAUUAUAUAAAGAUUAAUGCUAUGGACAUACAUACUUAUUCUAAUAUUUAUUUAUAUGAUUAAGUUGAAGUAGAUAAAAAUAAAUUUAUUUUAUAAUAUUUUAUAUAAAAGCUUUUUAUAAGCUUCAUAGAUGCUACUUUGAUUUUAUAUAUUUGUUAUUGAUUAGUAGAUUAGAAACUUGGUCAAUAAGUUAAUCAUAUGUUGAUAGCUUGUGGAACAACCUAACUAUGUGGCGCACAUAUAAAAAACUUGCUUUGCAAGUUAAGAUGCGUAUCUUAUAUAGUCAAUACGUUUUGGAGGUCUUAUAGGACAUUGCGACAUAAUUCCUAGUUAAGAGUAUAUAUGGAGGCAAGAAUGAAGCCUUCUUCACUCUUGUCAAUGCAUUUUUAGUCCUAAGUUUUAUUUCAAGACUAUUUAGUUUUCUUGACUUUGACAAUAGCCGUUCUAGUUUAAUACUAAAUAAUCUUUAAGUGAUUUUUUAAUCAUUUUGAGUGACACAAGAGUAUAUUGAGGUUUUUUUUCUUUGAAAUUUAUGUCCUUAAUAAUUUAAUAAGAGUGCUAACUUAUUGUUCUUUUCUUGUUUUAGAAGUGAGUGGAUUAUCCUACUUCUUUUAUUGUAUUUUGAAGGUUGCAGAUUAUCCACCUUUAAACAAACUAUUUAAUUUUUUAACACCAUUUUUUUCUUUAAAGAAAAAAAUUAUCUCUCUUUGUGAAAUUUUUUAUUUAGUAUUAGAAGUUGCAGAUUAUCGUCCUCUAAUUUGACUUGUAGAUUUGUUAAGUUAUUUGAAAUGGAAGAAAAAUCAUGGAUGCUAUACUUGGUAGAAGUGAGAAUAGAUUUGCAACUAUUGUAUAUGUUUACAAACUUGUCAAUACUCUUAGAGUAGAAAUUUCAUGCAUCUUUAGCACCAACCAUGAAAACAUUAAUCCUAUGUCUAUAGAAGAAGUUAAGAAUCUAUGGCAAGAAGUUGUAUAAUUGAAAGAAGCAAGUUAAUUGACUUCACAAUUAAAUCUCAAAAGUUUUGCUUCUACAAGUAUGAUAGGGACACGAAUUAGUAUGUUUGAUAAGUUUGAUGGAACAAGAUGAAAAAUUUGAGGAUUUUGCAACAAAUCAAGUUCUAUUUAACUGUGUAUUUCUUCCAAUAUCUUGAUAGAUUUACUCAAGUUGGAUUCAUAGGCACACUUUUAUAUGGCAAUGUUCUUUUUUAGUUUAUACUGUUAAUGAAAAAAGAUUCACAACUUCUUUAUGAUUUGAAUUUAUUCCUAGAAGUAUUUAUAGCUACAUUUGGAGAUAAUGAUCAAGAAAGAAUAGUAGAGAUCAAGUUUUUAUCUUUAUGAUAAGGAUCAUAAUAAACUACCAUAUAUAUUAUUGAAUUUCAAAACCUUGCUUGCAAUGGAGAUUGGAAUGAAAAAACCCUUAUUAAUUAAUUUCAAUAUUGAUUGAAGGAUAACAUCAAGGAUUUAUUAUUGAUAAUAUUGAAAGCAAAAUCUUUGGAAUAAUUAAUUGCUUAAGCCAUUGCAAAUGACAAUUGAUUAUUUAAAAGGCGUCAAGAAUAAAGAUUUAGUUGGAGAGAAUUAAGCCAAAUAAUGAUGGUAGCCUCUAAGUUUUUAAAAACUUAUUUAUCAAAGUUGGAAUCAAUGCAAAUUGAUAUGAUACAUUUUGAAUUCUUUACUAAGCAAGCAAGGACUUAAUAUUGUUAAGAAGGUUUGUGCUUAUAUUAUGGAAAAGCUAAGCACACUACUCAAUAUUAUCUAAAAAUGCAAUGCAAUCACAAAAUGAAGAGCAUGAUUGCUAAAAAAGAUAAUAUACAAAAAAUGAGUUUCUCCAACUAAAAUAGAGACGAUGUAGUUGGAAUCAUGUGCAACACCUAAUAAAGAUCCUAUUCUUUCUUCAGAUCCUUCACCUUAUUUUAUAAUAGAUGUAUAUUUUAGACCUAAAAAUCAUAAAACCUUUAUAUUAUUAGAUUCAAAAGUCUUAGCAUGUUCUAUAGACAAAGACUUUGUCAAGAAAUAAAAAAUAUAUUUAGUCAAGAAAACUAAACCUAUACAUGUAGAAAUUAUAAAUGAUUAUUUGUUAUCUUUUAGAGAUGUUAUUAAUGAGAUUGUUCUUUUAGAUGUAUAAAUUAAAGAUCAUAAUAGUAUAGUAUUAUUUAAUGUGAUAAGAUCUUCUUUCAAUUCAUUUAUUUUAAGAUUAUCAUGGUUAAAAAAAUAUAAUCCUCAAAUAGAUUGGAUUUUUUGUAAUCUAAAAUUUUCUUGUAGUUUAAUUCAAAAUCUUAAUAAUGAAGUAAAAAUAGAUAAGCCUAAUACAUCCAAAUAUUUAUUAAUAGAUAUAAGAGCUUUCAUGCAUGAAACAAAAAAAAAGCUCAUCUUUUCCUAAAUAUGCCACACCCAUUUUUAAUUGUGGAAAGACAUCAAGUGGUAUUUCUAGCGAGUACAAAGAUUUCAAAGACAUUUUUGAAAAGAAAAAUAUAGAUAUUCUUCCAAAUCAUCAAUUCUAUAAUUGUUCAAUUGAUCUACAAGAAAAAAUCAACCACUAUUUUGACCAAUCUAUAGCUUAUUGUAAAAUAAGUUGAUUAUACUAAAGGAGUAUAUUCACAAGAACUUAGCUAAGAAUUUUAUAUGCCAUUUGAAUUUUUAUUUUUAAUAUUUAAGGAUAUUUUUAUUAUAUUUUUAGAAUUAUUUUUUUAUAUAUGUAUUUCUUUAAGAUUAAUUUAUAAUUUCUUUAUGUUUCUUUUUCAAUCUCUUUGAGAUUUCUUUUGGAUUUGAUUGAUUAACAUUGUUAAGAUUUAAUUGGAGUUUAUUUAAAAUUAUAUUAGAAUUAUAGGAUCUUAUUGUUGUAAUUUCUUUUUAUCUUUCUUAACUAUGUGCUCGAUGUAUUCUCAAGCAAGACUUCACAUAAUAUGAUAUAUUUAGUGAAUCAGACGUGAAAAGCUUGAGGUGGAAGGUAUUGAGUUUUAAUGGUGGUUAUUGGGAUUGAUCAUCCAUUUGAUGGAAAGAAGAUUGAUUUUGGAGCUUUUUGAGUUCUUAGAGCUUUGGAGACUAUCUUAAAAAACAAUGGUAAUAUUUGGAUUAUCAUGGAGUAUUAUAGGGCUUUAUAGACAUAUUGGAGUAUUUUAAAGUAUCAUAAGGUAUUUAUUAGAAUAUUUCAAGGAAUAUUUUUGAACAUUGUAGAACAAAAUGGAGGAUGUGUCAUCAAGAUCUUUGGAUAGAUUGAAUAUUUUGAAUGGGCCAAAUGUUAGUGAGUUUUUUUAAAGCUUUCUGUAUAUCUAUGGAAGAGUAAAAAAUUAUGUAAGCAAUUGAAAAAGGUAUCAUAAAGGCAAUGCAAGGAAUCAUCAACAAAUUUGAGAGGUUUGAAGGGUGAUACAUGACUAAUUUUUUACAAGUUUAUACAUGUGAGAUAGAAACAUGCCAAAUCUCUAAGGCAAAGAUGAUUUCAAGCUUCUAUUUGGCUAUUGAACCUAGGAUUCACAAAAAAGUGAAGAAAUUACUUUGAAGGGUGUAGAGAUAUGGUCAAAAUUUCAAGAACUUUUGAAAGAAGAGUCUACUGAUGGAGAUGAGGAUAAGAUUACCAAGCAAAAGUUUUUGGAUUGAAUAGAGUUGCAACCAGACCAGCAUAUGGAUCUUUAUGAGUUCUUAGAAGAAUUUGAUAGAAGAUUUUAUCAACUCUCAUUCUUAAAGAGGUGGUCAUUAGGUACUUUAAAGAUAGAAUUUUUUUUAAAUGGUCUUGAUGAUGCCUUGAGAGACAAGAUUUUCAUGCUUCUUGCAGAUAAGUCUACAAAGAGUGAUUGUACCAAUAAUUAGGAGAAGUUGAAGGAAGCAGUGGUUUUUUUAGCAAGGCAAAAAGAAGCACAAGCUAAAAGAGUUGCAAUAUGGCCUAAAAGAUCUUCUACUUUGGCUUCUAUGUCAUCUUUAUCAAUGCAAGAGACUAAUCUUAAAAAAAAAAAAAAAAAAAUAGAAGAGCAAGUGGGAGACUUCAAUGGAGGAGCAAAUUUUUUGUAGAUGAAAGAAAUUGGAUCUUAUACCAAAGGUAGUAAAGGAGAGAACAAAUAUUCUUUUCAAACUAUUACUAUAGAAGGCCAAAGUAUCCAAAAAAUUGAAGAUAAUAUGAAGAUUAAGGAUUUUGAAACUAAUGACAAUGCAGUUGGAAGCUAUGGCUAUUCUACAUUGAGUAAGUUUAUGGAAGUUGGUGAUGGCAAUUUAGAUGGAGCAUCUCUUGGUAACCAAAGAGCAUUUUUUACAUUUGAAUGAGGUGAAGAUGUUUUAUUCAGUACUUAGAUUAUAUUGAAGAAUUUAAAGUUGAGCCUUCAAAAGAGAUGGAUUAUGGAUCUACUCAAGGUUAUGAUUAUAGAAGUUAUAUGAAUUAACAACAUUAUGAUAUGAAAGGUGGUGGAAUUAUGCAUAGGAAUGAUGAUGAAAGUCAAAUUGUAUAUGGCUAUGAAACCACAUAUGGAUUGGAUGAAAGAAGUUAUGAAUUUUUACAUGAUCAUUAUAAAGAGGGUUAUGACAUUGCACGAGGUCAUGAUACUAAAUGUGGUUGUGAAACCACGAAAGAUUAUUGUGAAAGUUAUGAGACUUUUUAAGAGCAUGAGAUUUUGAAAGGGCAUGAGAUUUCUCAAUAUUAUGAGGUUAUACAAUGCUUUGAGACAACAAAAGGUUAUGAUGUUUCACAAGGAUGCAUUCAAGAAGAUAUGAGAGAUGUUAUACAAGAUCAUGUGGCAAAUAAAGAUUAUGGAACAAAAGAUAAGGGUGCCAAGUCAUUGGCUAUGAUUAAGUUAAUUAUGAGCACUUUUCUUUUGGACCAAGAUCAAGGUUACAUAGGUAAUGCACAUGUAAUGGAGACACAAUUGGAUUUUAAUAAAGAUAAGGUUCAUCAUCAAGUAUGGAAUUCAAGGAUUAAAAAUCUAGAAAAUCUUCAAAUAUAAAGAAAUGAGCAAUGGAUUUAAAGAUUAUAUGGAUAUCUUAAAUGAAACUUGGAAUUAAAGAAAUAAGAAAAAAAAAUACAAACAAGAUGUAUAUGGCUACAUUGAAGAGGUUUCAAUUCAGUCUUUUCAUUUCAAAUUUUUUUAUCUUGGCAAUGAUUUGGUCAUAUGCAAAGGAGGAUAUUUCCAAAUUACUUGCACAUGUAGAGUAAAUGAAAACAUUGGCAUUAAAAAAUUAAAAAUAAAAAUAAAAAUAAAUUUAGAAAGUACCACUAUAAAGUAAGACUAUAGAGGUAUAAAAAAGGAUGUAUACUUUCAAGAUAUAAGUGCCUUUGAUUCCAAUUUUAUUGGUAUUAAAAUAAUAAUAAUAAUAAUAAUAUUUAAAAAAGAAUUAUGUAACUUAGGAAUAUUAAAAGAUGAUGAAAGAUUUUUGAUAUUUAUCAAGAAAAUGGAUUGGAAGAUUUUUGGAAAAAAUUGCAUGUAUUGGAUUAAAAGAUGAUGAUAAGGUUGUACAAAUUCAUUCAAAGGAAAUUACUUUACGCUUGAAAUUUUUUUCAAAUACCAAAGAUCAUUGUGAAGACAAAUUAUAAAACAAUAGACAAGAGAAGAACUUAUAGCUAUUCAAAAUUGACAAUUGGAACAAAGUCCAGUAAAAAAAAAACAAAAAAACAAAAAAACAUGGUUACAAAACAAGAUUCAAUUUGAUAAUCAAUAUCAACUAAGAUCUAAGGCAAUUGAAGAGGAUUUUGGUCUAUAAUAGCAGCUUAGACAAUCAACAUAGUACUUUGAAAAAGUGUUUUAAAUGAUGGUUUGGACCAUUUUUGAUAACAAUUGUUCAUGAUAAUAUGACUUAUUCAUUACAAAAGCUAAAUGGAAGAAGGUUAAAAAUACCAAUUACAGGAGAACAUGUAAAGAUAUUCAAACAAAGUCAAAUGUAAAUAAAUAUAGAAAAUUUUAUUGAAGACAUAAAUCUUUCAAGACAACAAGAUUAUUUUGAUUUAAAUAGCAAAAAUGAAGAAGAAGAAUUGGAUGAAGACAUUGAGAAUAUAGUAUGAAUCAAACAAAGUUGGAUUAUUUGGUUCAUACUAAGGAAUGCACAGAUUCAGAGAAGAUGGAUGUCAUGUUGUAAUAUAAUUAUAUGGUGAAAGAUAAUAAUAUGGAGCUUAUUAUAGAAGAGCCAAGUUAAAAGAUAAAGUAGAAAAAUAUGGAUAAAAGAUAUGAAGGUAUUAAAACUUUUAGUAGUAAUGCUACCUUUUUUAGAAAAUAACUUCUACUUACUUUGUAGGGCCAUAAAUAAGGAAAAAUAAGGUAAUUAAAAAAAAAAGAUACAAGCAUAUAAAGGAGGGAGUUAGGAGUUGGUUUUAUCAAAAUUUAUUUUAAAAGAGACAAAAAUUGAUACCCGGAGAGGACUGAUUAUGAACCUAGGUAGAAAUCAGACCCUAUGGCACAAAACCGAGCCUCAAUAAUAAAUCAAGGGUUUUUUUAUUGAUCAAAGAGUGAAGUUGGAGAGAAGACUUAAUAAGGUUUCUAUAUGCAUUGAUUUUGGAGGAUUUGACUAGGUAAUGAAUUUGUAAGAGCUUUGCAAAGUUGAUGUUGUUUUUGGUGACUUUGAUUUUGGAAAAUAAAAUAGGGUUGAUGUUUUGGGCAAUUUCAAGAGUUUGGUAAUAGAUCUAUAGGUAAAUUUUUUUUGGAUUUACAAGUGUUAUUGUGUAACGUAUAUGUUGUGAAUUUGGAUUUGAUCAAACAGUUAGAUUGAAAAAUAUGAAGGUUUUUUGUGGUUUAUGGUCUCAAAAUUUAGGGUUUUGAGGACUAAUAAGGUUUUCUUAGAUAUUUGUCAAUUUACUAACUAGAUUGAGGCAAAUUUUUUUAAAGAAGUGGUCAACUUGAUUUCUAAUAAGUAUAUAAAAUUUAGAAGCAAAAUAACUAUUCAAUCAAGAUUAAUUGGCUGUGAGAGAUUGGCAUCAAGGUCGGAGAAGGAGGUUGGUUGACACUUAAGUGCAUUUUUGAGAUUAUCAUGUAUUUGGUAAAUUCAAUCAUCUUUAAAAAAAAAAUUUACUUAUUUUUAACUUAAUUAGUGAAGAAUGUAUAAAAUUUGAGUUGAAAUCGACGGUUCAAAUAUUAGUUAGUGAAUUUCAAAAUCUAUUGUAAGGUUGUUGGAAAUUUAUUUGAGAUUUAAAAUUUGAUUAAGAUUUGAUUAGGAUUUGGUUUAGGAUUAAGAUUAGGAUUAGGAUUUGAUUAGGAUUAGGAUUUAGAAUUUGGUCUAGGAUUUGAUUAAAGUUCUUGAAUUUUUAUUUUUAGUAUUUAAAGAUAUCUUUGUUAUACUUUUAGGAUUAUUUAUAUUUAUAUACAUAUAUAUAUAUAUAUAUAUAUAUAUAUAUAUAUAUAUAUACAUAUAUAUUUAAGAUUAAUUUAUAAUUUCUUCAUGUUUCUUUUCUAAUUGCUUUAAGAUUUCUUUUGGAUUUGAUUAAAGAUUGAUUAACAUUAUUAAGAUUUAAUUAGAAUUUAUUUAAAAUUCUAUUAGAGUUGUUAGGAUCUUAUUGUUGCAAUUUCUUUUUACCUUUCACAGCUAGGUAUCUGGUGCAUUCUCAAGCAAGAUUUCACAUAAUUUAACAACGUGUCUCUUUUUGAGCCAUAUAAAACAGCGCAUAUCUCGAGAAGAAGACAAAUGCCACCUCUUCGUAUAAAAAAUGGAUAAUAAUCAAGAAUUCAAGGUGGUGGAAGUCUUAGAUUCAAAGCAAUGCCAAAAUAGGUUAAAAUAUCUUAUUCAUUGGCAUGGAUAUGUCACGGCCAUAAUCAUGUAAGCUAAUAAUUACAUAUAGAAAUAGGUAGAAGUAAGUAAAAGUAGGUAAAAGUAAGUUAAUUCUAUAAUAUUUAAUAUAGAAGCUUCCUAGAAAUUUCCUAAACGCUGCUUUGACUUCAUAGGUGUCUUUAAUUGACUUUUUGGAUUAGAAACGUGGUCAACAAGUUGGCCAUGUGCCACACAUGUUGUUAGCUUGAAGAUCAAGCUAACUAUGUGACUCACACGUAGAAAAACUUGCCUUGUAAGUCAAGGCAUGUGCCCUACAAAGUCAACACAUAUUGGAGGUCCUAUAGAACGUCGCCAUGUAGCCCCUAGUUAGAGAGUAUAUAUAGAGACAAGAGUGAAGGCUUCUUCACUCUUGUCAACUCCUUUCUUGCUUCUAGUCUAAUUUCAAGGGUCUCUAGUUUUCUUGUCUUUUGGCAAUAGCCAUUCCAGUUUCUCUUUCAAUAUAUAUACUUAUUUAUAUAUAUUUUGUUACCUCUCUUUGAGUGAAUGCUCACUUGUUUGAAUUGUUUUUUUCAUCGAGUUCUUGUCCUUGACAGGAUAUGAUAUUAGUGAACAUACAUGGGAACCAAAAAAAAUCUUGCAAAUUCAACAAAAAAAGUUGAAGCUUUUUAUUGAUAAUAUCCAUCAAAACUAAGAUAAAAAAUUGCAAGAUCCAUGAAAGGUGAUGACCACUAAGAAUUGCAAGAUCCAUGAAAGGUGAUAUCCAUAAAGAAUUGCAAGAUCCAUGAAAGGUGAUGGAAUUUGUUCCUAAAAGAAGAAGGUAAUGUCAUAGAUAUACAUACUUAAUCUAAUAUUUACCUAUAUGAUUAAGUAGAAGUAGAUGAAAAUAGAUUUAUUUCAUAAUAUUUUUUAUAAAAGCUUUCUAGAAGCUUCAUAGAUGCUACUUUGAUUUUACAUGUAUUUGUAGUCGAUUGGUAGGUUAGAAACUUAGUCAAUAAAUUAACCAUGUAUUGGUAGCUUGCGGAAUAAGUUAAUUAUGUGGCGCUUAUAUAGAAAUCUUGCCUUGUAAGUUAAGAUAUGUAUCUUGCAAAGUCAACACGUUUUAGAAAUUCCAUAAGACAUUGCCAUAUAGCUCUUAGUUAAGAGUAUAUAUGGAGGCAAGAGUGAAGCCUUUUUCACUCUUUUCAAUGCCUUUCUAGUCUUUAAUCUUAUUUCAAGACUUUUUAGUCUUCUUGACUUUGGCAAUAGCCAUUUUAGUUUAAUACUAUAUCAUCUUUGAGUGAUUUUUUAAGCUUUUUUAGUGACACAAGAGAAUAUUGAGGUUUUCAUUAUUUGAUAUUCAUGUCCUUGACAAUUAAUGAGAAGGAUGAGAAGCACUAUUAAUUAAUUGAUAUUGAGAUGGGACUUUUAGAUGCAUUAAUAUUAAUAAAAAGAUAAAUUAAAUUAAUAAGGACUUUAAUUAAUUUAUCAACCAAUAUUUUAAAUAAUUCUAAUGACAUGGAUCCAUUUUUUACUUAUAGAUAUGAUUUAAAUUAUAUUGUGAAAAAUUGGUUAAAUCUAUUGUGCCAAGAAUAUUAUAAAAGAAUGCAAUAAUUAAAUAAAAUUUGUAACAAAACAUAACAUAUUCUAUUAUCAUUUUUUAUUCCAAUCAAUAUAAAAUAAAAUAAAAUAUUUAAGCUAUUAUAUGAAAUAGUAUUUUUUAAUUAUUUUUAAAGAUUUAUAUAAAAUUAGAUAUAUAGUUAUUAUUAACAAAUAUUUAUAAAUUUAUAUAUUAUCAUUAAAUAUAUAUAUAUAUAUAUAUACAUAUAUUUUUUAAAAUUCUAUCUAAAUAUUUAUUUAAUAAAAAUAUGAUACAUAUUUUUUAUAUUAUACAAAAUCCAGUUUAAUCAAGCACUAAAAAAUAAAUAAACAAAUAUUAUCAUUUUUUUAUAAAAAUAUAUAUUUUUACAAAAUCAAAUCUUCAUUUAUUAUAUAUUAAUCACAAAAUUGACAAUCUUGUGUUUUUUAAUACAAAAAUAAUGUAUGUUAAAACUAAUUCAUUUCUUUUACAUUUGAAUAUGAAGUUUCUUCACAAAAAAAUUCAAUGUAAUUGAAUAAAAAUUAAAAUUAUCCGAUUUAAAAUAUGCACUAACUUCAUCUAAUACUGUUUGAUAAAAUAAAAAAGAAGAUAUUGACUGAUAAGAAAAUUUUGUUUGUUUGUUUGUUUGUUUUUUUAACUUAUUUCUUUCUUAUUGACUAAUUUAGUUUUUACAAAUACUUCUUAUUAAAUGAUUCAUUCAUAAUUAUAACCAUGCAAACCCAACACUUUUUCAAAAGAAGAAAGACUCGAAAAGAAAAAGAAAAGGAACGAUCCUAAAGGAGAUGGCUCAAGUUGUAAAAGGAAAAAGAACAAAGGCUAAAGGCAAAAGGACCGACGAAAAGGUCCAAGACGACAGACUUUACCCUGGCAAAUGAACGAGCCAAUUUUAUCGGUGGGGUUGGACUGAGUCGUCGUCGGCAUCAACGAACUCUCCACGAAACCCUAAUUUUGGAGCCGUCAUGCGAGUAGGGCGGUCGCGUUUUCUGCUCGUGGUCGCCACGCAAUUGACCGCCGCUCAUUUGCCAUUGCGCGUCUGGUUCACGAGGGGGGGGAGAGAGAGAGAGAGCGCCCUUACCCCACCUACCCAUAGAAUUCCGCUGAACCCACCUUCUGUGGUAGAACAGAUUGCGUGCAUUUCGGAAGAGAAUUGGGUUUGAAAACCGGGGGAAGGUGGGUUGUGUGUGUGUGGAUCGACAGAGGACUUACCCAUGACGAGAGGGAAUCAGAGGGAGAAAGACCGCGAGAGGGCUGCCGCGAGAGCCAAGGGGGCUAAAGGGAAAGACGAUGGGCUCACGCCUGAGCAGCGCCGUGAGCGCGACGCCAAAGCUUUGCAAGAGAAGCUGGCGAAGAAGGCUGAGAAAGCGCCUGCAUCCUCAUCGUCUGCUGCGAAGAAAUAAUGAUGCAGCUUGCCCCUUGACUGCCGUGGUGUGAUCCCCACUUUUUAUUCGCCCUUCCAUGGUUUCUCUGCUCCCCCUGUUGUUAUUAUUUUAAAAAGAUAAACAUAUUUCUGUGUAAUCUCGAAAUUGCCCUCUUAGAAUGG
rnacentral:lncRNA from 1 species